GUUGUCAGAGCCUCAGCAAUGCUCCUGCCCUAGGGAAGCCCAGCUGCCACCUCUCUGAGUGACUUAAUAGCUGUGAGUGAUUCCCUGGGCAGAGUGGGUGGGGCCUACCAUGUUCCCAUUACACACCAUUUCACCUGAUGCAACUGCUUUCGGAAGACACUGCCAUGAAAGAAGCACAUUGCAACAGCAUGCUGUAAUACCUAUCCCACCAGCAUCUCUACCACACCGCAUGGAUACACUGCACUCUGCUGGAAGUGUCCCUCAUCAGGACUGCUGGAAGCCUUUAAAAUAUUUGUCGGGGCCAAUGGGAUAGCUCAGCAUAUGAAGGCAUUUGCCACUAAGCCUGACUACCUGAGUUCAGUCCCCAGGUCCUACAUGGGGGAAGGGGAAAACCAUUCCCUCAAAUUAUCAUAUGACUUCCACGUACGUGCCCUAGCAUGCAUUCCCCUUGCAUGCAUGCAAAACUAAAUGUAAAACAAAGGAAUUUUUCUUAUUUCUGUGUAUGUGUGUGUUCAUGUAUACCAUGUGUGUGUGCACACAGGUGCCCAUGGAAUUUAAAGGAGUGCCUCGGAUCCCCUGGAACUGGAGUUAUAAGCAGUCAAACCUGGGCCCUCUGCAGGAGUAGGAAAUGCUCUUACCUGCUGAGCCAUCUUUCGAGCUCUGACUUGAGGCAUCUCAGUGGCUUGGCUUCUUCAGUAUAUUUGAAACUUCUGGUGCCUGGAUCUCUCCCUGACCCCAAAGAUUCCAAAGAGAUUGAUGUGUGUGAAGAUGACAACCAAGAUUAACUAUCAAUUCCACUUUAAGAAUGAAGAUGGCAGUGUUGCCAAUGGGCUAGGUGAGGCCACAUAACUAGUUAAAUGACUUCAUGCAGAUCUGCUUGUUAUCUACCUCAAUGACUUCCUCUAAGUGCUUUUCUGGAGCCAAACUGGACCCCCCACUAGGGAGGACAGCAAAGCACUGUCAUUAUCUGUAGGUGUGAUCACAGGCUCUCCCGAUGGGUUCUGCCUGUCCUGAGGGCAUCCGCUUUCAGGUGCUCAUCCAAAGACAAGGCCAGAGCCAGCAUCUGGAGUCACUGAGGGCUUGGUAGGGAGUCCUGGAGGCUGCUGUUUCCAUAGGUGUGUCCUGCAGAAGCACUGAGAGCCACUGUCCCUGGUGAUACUCUUCUUUGCCUAUCCCAGGCUUGGAUUCUCCAGAUGGAACGGGAUCUGUCACUAAGUCUCUGCAUCCUCAGGGCACCCUGGCCCCCAAUACAGAGAAGGGAUCUCCCUGGCCAGCCCAGGGUACAUUUGAGAGCUAUCAUGCAUGUCCUGUGAUACUGACUUCAGCCCAGGUCUGGGACCUGGUACAGCUGCAACCUCUCUUCUAGAAGAUUCUGAAGAGUGUCAGUUUCCUGUUACUGCUGUAAGAAAUGUCCGUGUACUUGAUGGCUUAGAAGAGCACACAGCUGGGACUGGAGCAAUGGCUCAGUGGUUGGGAGCACUGGCUGCUUUUCCAUGGCAACCGACAACUGUCUGUAACUCCAGUUCCAGGGAGUCUGACACCUUUGUACCAAUGCACAUAAAAUAAAGUUGAAUAAUUUUUUAAAAGAAGCACACAGCUAUUAUCUUAUGAUUCUGAGGGUCCAGUGUACAAAAUAGAUCUUGCAGG
rnacentral:lncRNA from 1 species